rnacentral:rRNA from 1 species
AACGAACGCUGGCGGCGUGGAUAAGACAUGCAAGUCGAACGGGACAACAUCUGUAGCAAUACAGGUGUUGUUUAGUGGCGAACGGGUGCGUAACACGUGGGCAAUCUGCCGAGAAGUGGGGGAGUAGCUCGCCGAAAGGACGAAUUAAUACCGCAUAUGAUCAGUGAAGACAUCUUCACGACAUCAAAGACCGGGGCGAACCUGGCGCUUCUUGAUGAGCCCGCGGCCUAUCAGCUAGUUGGUGAGGUAACGGCUCACCAAGGCUAUGACGGGUAGCUGGUCUGAGAGGACGACCAGUCACACUGGAACUGAGACACGGUCCAGACACCUACGGGU